AUCGAUAAUUUUUGUUUGACAUGUACAUAUAAUGUGAAACUGUAAUGCAAUCGAUUGCGCGUCGUAGUCGUAAAUGUCUUAAUACCAUUUAAAAUGUUUUGCAGAUCAUAUAAGACGCUGUUAAUCUGUGUAACCAUAUCUGCUUUAAUGUUAUGAAUUGUCAUUCUCUGUAUAUAUCCUCAACGAAUGGCUUAGGAAAAGAAAAGUAAAGAGUGUCUGAAUUAUUGCGUAAUAAAACGAAAGUUUCGAGCGUAAUGUUAUUUAUGGGUUAAUAAACUUAUAAUGACAAGCUAUGUUUGUUUUUACAUAGGCACUUUUAGAUUCAAUGUUAGUAAUAAUUUUAAAAAAGUAAUAGGGCCAACCUACAGCUCUAAUUUUUAUCGAUAUCGAUAAAUCGACCCUAAGCGUCCUGCACUAUUAGGCCCUCAAGGUUAGUGUCCAUGUUUUUGUAGAGUGUCACAAAAUUGAAAUAAAACAUUUAUUUUCUGACAACUAUUUGCUAUGCAAAUUGAUGCAAAUAGAGGAAAUUGCAAUAUGUUCUAAGUCCCGACUCUUACUACGAAGUAGUUAUAUACUCUUUGGAUUAAUUAGUUUGACAACUGGCGUUACAGAAGUAUCGAAUUAAUUUUGUAUGAGGAUUGAGGAUCAAUGUGGUAUUUAAAUACACACUAUAGCAAUAUAGGUAUUAUAUAAUUUUUACCCGCAUGUUCAGAAUUCAGAUCGCCUUGUCUGCUCUUGUCGGUUAUUGGUCUAUACUUUGAACUUUGACCGUUAAACUCAGUUAAACUGUUGAUUUUUGCCAAUAUGUCCAUCAGGUCAAAUAAUCGUGUCGGUGUAUAAAUAGCAACAGAUCAAGGUUAAGUCAUAUGCACAUACUUUUUAUGUAUAAUUUUUUAAUAAAUGAUUAGGUUUAUAAGGUACGUUCUAGUUCGGUUCAUUUUAAGGAUAUACGAUUUACAAUAUGGAUUUAGCAACAAAUUUGAAACGAAAGAAACUAAAAACUCGAAAGUGUCUAAACAAAUUAAGGAAAAGGUUAUUUGGUGAAUCCGAUAAAGACAUUUCAAUAGACGGAUAUUCCGUGCUUAAUAAAAAUUACUCUGAGGAAUACUUUAACACAAAACCUAAUUCCAUGACAAUGAGCCAUUUGACUUCAGCUUUUCUUAGUAAGGCUGUUCAAUCCGAAACAAUAACAAGACACACCCUACCAUCUAAGCAGGAGAAAUCUGGUACAUCUAAAAACGUUAAUGACGCAAGCACAAUGAUUUUUAACGAAAGUGAAUCUAGUUUGUCCCAACCUUCUAUUGCUUCUGAUAAUAGUUAUAAUGUGAUAAACCCUUUAACUGAAGUUAUAACUACAAGAGAUAAUGACUUUUUUUACAAAUCCCUGUCGAGAAGUCCAUCACUUUUUAGUUCACAUAAAUCUGAUAGAACAAUGGUAAGCUUUAUUGAGGGAUUGGAAACUGACUCUGUGGAAAACUUGCGUCAGUCAGUUACAUCAGUAAAAAGUUUAAAAGUAAGUAUCUAUUUUGAGAGCAACAGACGGCAAACAACCUGGUGGCCCACUCGAUUUAUUACGAUAGUGAUAAGACAUCUGCCUAUAGACAACAAUUUGCUACAAGUUCAAAGAUUGCAGAACCUCCCUGUUUUCUAUUAGAAAAGGACACACACAAUCUUGAGACGAAGCAUGAAAUUAUUUUCUCUUUACACCCAUCUUCUGUGUGGUUAUGGUAAUGCACUGUGUGGAGCAGUCGGUUCAUGCAGCAGCUAAAUCUGAUUUAUGGUGACCAAAAACACUUAUUAAAUCUACAUACUUGCAUGAUUACUGUGAUAAACUGUAUUAAAGAAUGACAGACAAGGUUUUGGAAACAGCCUUUUUGAAAAAUUAUCCCAUGAAAUAAUAAUUGAAGAAAAUCCAACAACCUAUAUAAAACUGGGACAUACUAAAUAUGUGGCUGCAUCUAGUGGAGUACACUCAUCUACUUCCACAAGUAGAUCAAACUCACCACUGUGUAGAAGCAACUUCUCCCAUGUGUCCGCUGCAUGUGUAGAUGACACUCCUGAAUAUAUUUAUUACCCACAU